rnacentral:rRNA from 1 species
GCGAGUGAAGCGGCAAAAGCUCAAAUUUGAAACCGUUCGCGGGUUGUAAUUUGAAGAUUGUGUUCCGGCGACGACCACGCCUAUGUUCCUUGGAACAGGACGUCACAGAGGGUGAGAAUCCCGUGCGGCGUGGCCCCCGUCUCCUUACGGAACACUCUCUACGAGUCGAGUUGUUUGGGAAUGCAGCUCUAAGUGGGUGGUAAAUUCCAUCUAAAGCUAAAUAUUGGCGAGAGACCGAUAGCGAACAAGUACAGUGAUGGAAAGAUGAAAAGCACUUUGAAAAGAGAGUGAAACAGUACGUGAAAUUGUUGAAAGGGAAGGGCAUGCCGUCAGGCUGCCAGUGUCAGUUGGAUGAGCGGGAUAAAACCAAAGGAACGUGGCCCUCGGGUGUUAUAUCCUCUGGCAAUACCGCUCGCCCGACUGAGGCCUGCAUUAUUUAGGACACUGGCGUAAUGACGGCACGCCGCCC